AGAAAUAUGUCUGACAAAAGAGUUACUUUGAUAGAGUAAAACAUAGGAGUUUAAAUCCCCUUAUUUCUA
rnacentral:tRNA from 1 species